CGCCCUUCUCCUUCUUGCUUAUUCUGAUGCGGAACCAAUGGAACCAUCACCACGCUUCCCUUGUCUCUCACAUCACACUGCAUCAGCAAGCGCAGCUCGGUACUGUCCUUCCGACCCCUACAGCCCACCAGAGCAGCAAGGACAACACUUGUCGUUCGCUUCUGGUGAGCCAUCGGGCGUCGACUGGGCCUCGCUGCUGUUGCCGAGGCCGACGCAGGAGGGAGAAGGCGAAACGAGGAGGGAGAAGGGAAGGAGUUCCGGGAGGACGAGGAAGGUCGUGAGCAGACCGAGGUUCGCUUUCCGGACGAGGAGCGCCAACGACGUCCUCGACGAUGGCUAUCGGUGGAGGAAGUACGGCCAGAAGGCGGUCAAGAACAGCAUGUUCCCCAGAAGCUAUUACCGAUGUACACAUCACACAUGCAACGUGAAGAAGCAAGUCCAACGCAUGUCCGAGGACACGAGCAUCGUCGUCACCACGUACGAAGGAGUUCACAACCAUCCAUGCGAGAAGCUAAUGGAGGCACUGUCUCCUCUACUCAAGCAAGUGCACCUCCUGGCUCCAGUUAUGGGAAUGCUUUAGCUAUUUCGUGAGGACGAAGAUAGACUCGUCAUCUACAUAUUUGUGCAUACAUACUCACCCACACUUGUAAUUUGUUUGUGUUUAUGAUCAUGAUAUAUCCUAUCAAUGGGAAAUGUAAAAUGUGUUCAUUAUUUAAUACAACUACUUUUCCUGUAUUAUUUUA